rnacentral:lncRNA from 1 species
GAGCGAUGGAGGACCCCGGCCCCGGCGCGGUCCAGCGGUGGGAGCGGGCGCCGCCCACCUGUCGGAUCCCUGGGCCAUGACCCCUGGGACGGCGAGUGUGGACAUGAGUGGCUGGGAUGCAGUGCCGUAGCAGGCUGGGGGACACAAAAGAGAACUGACCCAGCACUGCUACCCUGGGCAGGAGUAGAGGAUUAGAGAAGGGGACACCGGAGCCACUCCCAAGGGAAUGAAGGCUUUCUGAACCUGGUGUGAUGAUAGAGCCACGAACCCCCUGAACAAGGAGCUCGACUGGGCCAGCAUCAACGGCUUCUGCGAGCAGCUCAACGAGGACUUUGAGGGGCCUCCACUCGCCACCCGGCUGCUGGCCCACAAGAUCCAGUCCCCACAGGAGUGGGAGGCGAUCCAGGCCUUGACGGUGCUGGAAACAUGCAUGAAGAGCUGCGGCAAGCGGUUCCACGACGAAGUGGGCAAGUUCCGCUUUCU